GCUCAUUUCAACAGUGCAUAUAUUAAAACUGAGAUCACACAAAGAAGAGUAGCAUGGCUCUGGACAAGAAUGAUGUGAAAAUUUAUGAAAUAUUCCUUUUCUUA